CAGACUUGUGUUCCCCUCGUCCUCCCAUUCAUUGAUCACCACUGGUCAGAGACCAUCACCAUGAACUUGGGGCUCAGUUGGCUUUUCAUUGUCAUUGUUUUAAAAGGUGUCCAAUGUGACGUUCAACUUCUGGAGUUAGGAGGAGGCUUGGUGCAACCUGGAAAGUCCCUGAAACUCUCCUGUGUGGCCUCGGGAUUCACCUUCAGUAACCACUGGAUGAACUGGGUCCACCAGGCUCCAGGGAAGGGCCUGGAGUGGGUCGCAUCUAUUUAUGAUAGUAAUAAAAUCUACUAUGCCAACGCUGUGAAGGGACGAUUCACCAUCUCCAGAGACAAUGCCAAGAACACGCUAUACCUGGAAAUGGGCAGUUUGAAGUCUGAGGACACAGCCAUAUAUUAUUGUGCAAGAGGCACAGUGAUUGAAAGCUACUGUGAACUCAGACACAAACCUCCAUGGAAAGUGCUUCGAACCAGCAGGUGGCGCUGA